UACGUAGGGGGGCAAGCGUUGUCCGGAUUUAUUGGGCGUAAAGAGCGUGUAGGCGGCCAUACAGGUCAGCUGUGAAAACUCGAGGCUCAACCUCGAGACGUCGGUUGAAACCGUAUGGCUAGAGUCCGGAAGAGGAGAGUGGAAUUCCCGGUGUAGCGGUGAAAUGCGCAGAUAUCGGGGAAGAACACCCGUGGCGAAGGCGGCUCUCUGGGACGGUACUGGACGCUGAGACGCGAAAGCGUGGGGAGCGAACAGG
rnacentral:rRNA from 1 species